rnacentral:lncRNA from 1 species
GUGAUUGCAAAUGGAAUCCCAAACAACGGAUAACUUAUUUAGCAUAAACAUGUCUUUGCAAUCCCAUGAUGCUUCAACUCUACCUAUAAUGAUUGCAAAAUGAAAUAGGCGAAAUCAUAUUUAAACCUUACCGGAGUUCCAAUCGCCAUCUCGGGAGUCGGCGUCUAGGUCUUCGCGGGAACUAUCGUCGCCAUCGACCAACAUUUGGAACCCUAGAUAACCAUCGCUGUUGUCAGCGUGGUUGUCUCCUUCGUCUCUGUUGCUGAAUAUCAAGAACACGAACUUGCCACAAAAACACCUAAUCUCGUCGAUCACUUUCUGUUAACUCCGAUUAGAGAUGAUGGGUUGUUGUGGCUUAGGGUUUCUUCAAUUAAACACCAACAUCACCGCUUAGCUCCUCCGAUUUACACCUACAACUCAAGAAUCUUCGUUAUUGUUGGUUACACCAUAGUAGAUGGCCGGCGAGACUGCCGUGAACAUUGCCAGAAACCCCUCGUCUCUCCUGGUCACUCUCUCUUUAUUCAUUGUGCAAGAACCCCUCUUCUCUUUCUUGGUUGUCUACCCUCAGAAACUUAGGAACUUAUGUGGUCACACUUGAAAACCAAAAAACUUGUGUGGCGCAAACCCCGGAUGAUAAUUUUUUUUUUUUUGAACGGCAAAUUUGGAUCACUGACGGAUCACUAGAGUAUCAUCAUACCACCAGUAGAACCACCCGAUCAUAUCCAUCUCCACUAGGCAAUGAUGCCUGUACACCAAUUCAGGAGGAAACCCAAUAAAUCUGGAAAAAACCCCCCUUUGUGGGAAUCGAACCCAUGACCUAAUGGUCAUAAGCCUUAUCCCACCAUCAAGAUACCACUAGGCUAUAAUGCCAUUGGUACCCCGGAUGAUAAUUGAUAUAUAUAAUAAUUAAAGAAACAACAAUUAAACUCAUUUUUUAAUACAACCCUCGUAUUAUUUAGAAUAAAAUAUUAUAAAAAGAAUUCAUUCUUUAAAUAAUUGAUUUUUCCUCUCAGAAUCACUCUUAAUAAAUAUUUUCAUAUAUGUGUAAAUACUAUAAAUUUACACAUGUAUAAAUGGCAAAGUUACACAUUAGUUAUUUAGGAAAAUAUGUGUGAAUUUAAACGUCUAAGUUUUUGUUAAAAUAUUGUAUUCAAAAUAUAAUAACAAAUGUAUAUAUAUAACUUUUAAUUUGAAUGUGUUUUUUUUUUUUUACCAAAUAUAGGCAUUCACAUUUUAAACUUACUCUAUUGUUAUAUUAUAAUAAAAUUAUAAUUCUUAUAUCUCUUUGGCAGAUGUAUAAAUCCAUACAAUAAUUAUCUAUAUAUAAAUUGAAAAUUUGUUAUGUUAUGAUUUAAUUUUUUACAUAUAAUCUAUCUAUACUUUCUAUAAAAGGAGAAAUCCAAGUGACAUAAGAAAAGCUGAUGUGUCAGUUUGAGAGCAUGUCCAACAAGGCUUUUCUUAUGUCAUCUGCAAUGAGGUGGCAGCAAUAGAGGAAGCAUAGUGACAUCAUAAUUUCAAAGAUCUGCCAUCCAAACCACUGCCCCGACUUUUAAUUUCAAAGGUCUAGACCACAUUCAAUUAUGAAACCACUGAUGUUCAUUGAAAUUUCAAACGACUGAUGCUCAUUGAAAUGGGAGGGUAAUUUGAAAUUUAAAAAUUCAUAGGGAUAUGUAAUUUGCAUUUAAUGUCAUCAGAGCUUCAAUUCUUCUCUCCCUCAAAUAUAAAUUUAAACCCAAAUUCAAAGUCGAUCAUAAUUUCAAAAACCCAUUUCAAUCUCUCUGUCUACUCUCUCUCAACUCUCUAUUUCUAAAACUGUAGAUAUAGAGAAGAGGAUGAAGACGAGAGAGGCGUUGCAUUUAUCAUCGAUUUCAAUGGUAGUUUAAAAAUAGAUAUUUUUUGAUUUUUUUCCAUUUAUCAUGAACUGAAAGUUUGUAUGCUAAAUGUUCUUCAGGUAGAUCUUGUUGGAUUUGUUAUUUGGUGUUGAAGUCUUGAGUUCGUUGGUCGAGCUUCCGAAUGUGAUCAAGGUUAUAAAAUGGAUCUCAACUUUAUUGAUGAAGAGGUAGAUCUUGCUGGAUUUGUUAUUUGGUGUUGAAGUCCUAAGUUCGUUGGCCUAGCUUCCGAAUGUGAUCAAGGUAGAUCUUGCUGGAUUUGUUAUUUGGUGUUGAAGUCCUAAGUUCGUUGGCCAAGCUUCUGAAUGUGAUCAAGAUGCUUGCAUUGGUGUAUGAAUGCUGCUAAAGAGGAAGCACUUAUGUACCUAAGGCCUGAUCAACCAAAGGAAAACCACUGCUCAGUAACAGCACUGCUCAACCAAAGCACAUAUUGUUAUUAUAUUAUCGUCUGUUAAUCGUGGUCUAUUAAAGCACUGCUCUUAAACAUUCUCUGUUGAACUGCAUCAUCUGUUAGUACAUAGGAGAGGUUCUCUUUGGCAGACCUUUUCUUGAACCGGAGCGGUAUUUAUUAGCAGAUGUUCAUCAUGAGGCGUGUGUAAACAGAUGUUUGAAAUCCUCUGUUGAAGUGUAUCACUGUUAAGUCACAGCAGAUGUUAGCAAUUUAUACUGUGGAAUGAUCAGCAGAUGUUAUGUUUUGUAGACUGAUGUCUGUCGUUAAGGACAUGCAAAAACCAACUAAACCAGUAGAUAGGGUAAGUCGGAUAUCGAACCAGAGGAGGAUUGUGGAAAGUGUUGUAAUGAAAAGUAUUAAUUAACUACUAUAAAAAAAAUAAAACUUUGUUGUGAGUUGAUU